rnacentral:rRNA from 1 species
CGUAGGGUGCAAGCGUUAAAUCGGAAUUACUGGGCGUAAAAGCGUGCGCAGGCGGUUGUGCAAGUCUGAUGUGAAAUCCCCGGGCUUAACCUGGGAACUGCAUUGGAGACUGCACGGCUAGAGUGCGUCAGAGGGGGGGUGAAUUCCGCGUGUAGCAGUGAAAUGCGUAGAGAUGCGGAGGAACACCGAUGGCGAAGGCAGCCCCCUGGGAUGACACUGACGCUCAUGCACGAAGGCGUGGGAGCAAACAGGAUU